UGGGUUCGAAUUUCUCAAAGGAAACACUCUCGGUACACUGUAUGAGAGGGCUGGACUGGGCUUGAACCUGCAUGCACAAACAAGUCCGAUUAGAGACUGGUCAAGCUGAUGGAAACCAUAACAGAGAAUGAACUUACCUCAUGGUAUCAACGCAGGCCCCAAGUUAUGGCCUCCUUGUUCAUCAUGUAUGGUGGAUGAACCGGGUUUGAGACCUCGUGGCUAUAGAGGGAGGCUCAAGUUGCAGUAUGUAAUCUUCUCUAAUCUCAGUUAUCGUCCACUUGUUUCUCUCAUUCAUAAGUAAAAAUACAUAUGUUAUUAACAACGAAUAAUAAUCGAAAACGAUACAAAACGAAAGGGGACUGAUUUUACCACUGAACAUGCGGUCCCCAGUCACCAUGCACCACCACGUGCCACCAUUGGAAUAGCCAUGUGUUGUCGCACACGCCACCUGCGCACCACCACUAGACUUGUCACACGUCGCUGCACAUGGAGCUAAAUAUUCACAUAAAUCCAAUCGAAAAAACUCCAUAUAUCUAGCCCUUUUCCAUCGUGCAUAGAUCUAACCACCAUCACGCACAGUACCAACACUGUCGGAAUUUUCUCCCCACUGCCAUGUUACUGCAUACACGAAAUGGGCCUGUCUUCCUGUUGUAACAUCGCAUCUUCUUUCCCUAAUAAAUUGAUGUCCCUCGAUUUCUUUUCUGUUGGCAUCACACGCCAUAUAGCUCUCAUCUGGUCAUAGUCGUCGCACGCCAAGCCUCGCGCCUCCCUUCUUCUUUUCCUUCUUUUACCCCUUGUUCUUCCUUUUUUCUUCUUUUUUUUUCUUCUUUGUUGUGUCUUUUUCUUCUGUGCGGUGGUUCUUUCUUUCAUCCCGAUCAAUUACUGGUCCUUUCUCAUCAAGUCGCGUCGAUUCUUCUUCCAUUAAUGCACAAAUCUCCCUUUUUUACUGCACACCAUGCCCUCUUUUCUCUCUUCCGGUUGCCCUCUCCUCUCCCCUAGCUGUGAUGACCCACUCGUUCUCUCUCUCUCUCUCUCUUUCCCUUUGCACCUCUAUCUCUUCCCUCUCUCCCCUGAUCGACUCCCCCCUUCCUCAGGAAACCCUAAUCGGGUUUUCACUUAUAUCUUAUUCCUUGGUAGUCCAAUCUCCUUCAAUCUCACUCGUUCAUUUUCAGAUCUCGCCAUGUGUAUGCACACAUGACAGAGCGGCCUGGCCCACCUUGCCAUUUCAUUUGCUAAGGUGUCUAACACUUCUCAAAUUUACAUUUUAGCUUUAUUUUUUGUAUUUAUUGUCAUUUAGGUUUUUUUAUUCACAAAAUGUCACUAAAAUUUAAUUUUUUCUUCACUUAAGCCCCCAAAAUCUUAAUUUUUAUAAUUUUAGGUUUAAUUUAAGGAAUUCAUAAAGUCGCGGGUGUUACAUAAAUAAUUUAUAUAAAUUAAAAAAAUUAGUGGGACAAUAUUGGAACACCCACCGAAACCUUUUUUUUUCAUUUUUUAUUAAUAAAUAUAAUUAUUUAUUUAUUUAUUUAUUUAUUUUAUUAUAUUUUAUUUUAAUUUAAUGAAAAAAGGGGUAAAAUUUAUUAAGGAUUAAAUUGAAGAUAAUUUUUUUAAAAAAGGUGAAAAAUUGGGUUCAGGAGGUAUUUUUGAAAGAAAAAUUGAAAACCGAGAGUCAAAACGCAAUUUAAAAAAAUUUUACCACGUUAGACGCCCGAUCAGUACCCCGACCAAUCAGGAUGCACCAAGUGGUAGAGGCGCUUAUGUGGGAGGCCACGCGGAGGAGAGCCACGCGGGCAAUCCGCGUGCGCGUGAUCGAAUUGCCGAGGUCCAUUCCCACGCGCACGGACGACCCAGAGUGAAUCGCGUACGGACAGACCAGAUUGGAUCGCGAAGAAUGGCCCAAAUUCACUCCCUAUUUAAUCGUGAUCAGACGGUCUAGAUUAAACGCGAUGGACGGUCCAGAUCAAAAGCGGAUAUGUAUAAAUAACCCCAUUUGCACCCAAACCCUAACCCUAGCCGCCAGAACCCCUCGCCGGAGAAGACAAACCAGUUGCCGGAAAGCUGACCGCCGCCAUCCACCGCUACACCGGAACCUUUUCCGACCGCCAAAAACGGUAAAAAAAUUUCUUUUUACACGAAAUUCAAUUUUAAACCCACCAUGGCCAAAUGGAAGUGAAAGAACUGACCAAUUGGUCAGAAAACACAAACAAAGCCCGUGGGCUUUGCCUCGGAGAAUUUCACAAACUGCCUGCGAUGAAGCCUUUUUCGAUUCCUGUUUCACGUAAUUUUUCUACCGUUGUGAUCACCAUUUUCUUCUCUACAGGUUGACCGAAACAAAAUACUCAAUCGCAACAUGAACCGAAGGAGCCACCGCACCGGAGAGCCCUGCCGCUAGUGAGUUUCAAUUUUUCGUAUUUUUUCGGUCCACCGAGGCCCUUCAGCGUGUGUGCUUGCUGGAAUCGAUGCAAAAUCGGCCAAAUUCGGCCAAAAAUGGCCGACCCGAGAUAGACCGUUGUCGCCGUGCCGGAUUUUUAAAAUUAGUCUAGCGAGCCCUGGGACUGAUUUUUGGUUUAUUUGAAACAAUUGUAGGUACUAUAAACGCAUUUCAGUUCCUGAGAAAAAAUUCAGGGAACCCAGGGACCUCCCGUAUGCACAGUAAACCUUUUAGCUUUUCGGCGUCAAAUCGAGUAAGGACCACUUAUCCUAUUCCCUAUCAUAAAAUUGAAGUUUAAAUAAAUAAUAAUACAGUAUUUUAUAGAAAUUAAAUAGAUGUGAAUGACUAAUUACGGAUUACUAAUAGAGCCCGAACUGGACAUUGUUCCCCGUUGAUUUAUUUUAUAGUCUAAAAAUAUGAUAGUAUCUGAUUUAUCUAUUUUAUGGUUUAAAUACAUGUAUUACUGCCUUACCUGACCAUUGUUUGAUUUGAGAUUUGAGAUAUGAUUGCAUUAUCGGAUGCAUGUUUAUUUGUUUAUGUGAUUAUGUUUGAUUUGGUAAUGGAGACUAAAGGAAAACAGGAAAGGGGUGUCAUCAAAUAAACAGAUGGAAUGACAGUCUUACUAGAUAUCCUAGAAGAUGGUGAACGGACCCAGUACAUGGGGAACCCUACCGUGAACGUUGUCUCAUAUCGGACGAGGUACGGAGACUUGGGCAUUUGGCGCUCAUACCGGACGGGAUAUGGGACGGCCCGCUUUACCCUCAUAGCGGAUAGGGUAUUGAGGUUUAAUGUCUUGGCACUCAUACCAGACGGGGUAUGGGGACGGUCCUGUAAUUGAGAUUGUUAAAGGGAAGGGUUCACGUGUAGCGGGGACAUUUUUAUGAACCCCCACGGAUACUAGUAGGCUGGUAAAAUGAGAAACACUAUGAUUUGAUUUAUUGUUAAUGGAUGAAUCUAUGAUAUGUUCUAUGUUGAUGAUUGUUCAUAAAGUUAUGAUUUGUAUGGU
rnacentral:lncRNA from 1 species